rnacentral:misc_RNA from 1 species
CUGCAUUAUCCCUUGGCCUUCUAUUGUUCACCCUAUCCCUAUUGCCAGUGAUUUCUAAAGCAUCAAGGCGAUCCGCAAUUUCUUCGAGACGUCUUUCUAUACGCCCGAAUUUGUGGUCCACCCAUUGCUCUAGUAAUUGCUGCAAACGUUGCAACGCAUUGUCCCUUGGUUCAAGGCUCUAGCUCUCUGAUCACCAUCGCGAGGGCUAUUGUCACCAUCAUUGUCAGUUGCCAUCCUUGCUCUGAUACCACUUGCAGCGAAACUAGAUAAAUCACUCACUCUCACACACACACACAUACGUGAGAGAAAGAAUUUGAUAGUAAAAUCUCGGCUGAAAAUUUAUUAGUUGAAAUAUGAAUAUGAAAUACCUAGUUUUGGAAGUAUUUAUAGAGUUUUAGACUCU